UGGCCAGCCGGCGUCCCCCUCGAGCGCAACUUCCGCGGCUCCGCCAUUGCCUCACCCCCACGGCGAGCUGCGCGCCGCAACCUGCAUUGCCUCGCCGCCGCGGCUCCGCCAAUCCGCCGACGCCGCCGCCGCGCUCGACCAAACACCCUUAUCGCCUCGGCGGCACUCGCCGGCUCGCAGCGUUCCGUGGCCGCGCCUUGCGUAAAGGGUCCAGCUUCCAUUUGCCGCUGUUGGGUUGGAGGGAAGCUCUACGGGAUCCAUCGGACAUGGGGGAGGAGGCUGAGCAGUCCGACCAAAGCGUCCUAGCCUCCCCCACGCCACCCACCCCCGUUGCCCGUCAAGUCCGCGCCGGUGAGGAAUCACCCCAUCGAUCCCAUGCCCCUCCGUUGCUCUUGCAUCGCUGCCUCCGCGCUCCGUCAACACCCUACUCCCCACCAGCUGCUCUAGCCAUUGUCUUGUCCGCGGCGGCGGCCGCUUCGACGCGGCGACGGAGCUGGGAGCAACACCAGCACGACCUGCAUCCAGCUAGCGACCGCUGUCACGCUGUGCUCUUGUCUUCCUCUCCUCCGGUUUGGUGCUGGAGUGCCGGAUAGUGUGAUGUCGUCCUGUCAUGGGCUACAGUGGGCUCGGCCGCCUGCCUCCCUCUCCAUGAAUUCUAUGCUCACCGUCGGUUUUGGGCAUGGAUGGAAGAAGGGGAUUGGGAAAUGAAUGGUGAUAGCCAUCCUUGGUGAGCACAGAAAGCAGUACUGUGACAUGUUCUUCCCCCAUUCUAUUUGGAAUCCUGAUAAAGAUGGCUGGUGGCUGUGGCUCUUCGUUCAGGCAAGCUGCUUUUCUUUUCUCCAUUGCAGAUUAUGCUCGUGGAUCAGCAGCUCAUUGUCCAAACUAUACUGUACAAUGUUACCAGCACAGAACAAUCAUUAUCUAAAAGUACAAAGACACAUCCAGAUCCAGCACUACAAUAUAGGGAUAGCAUCUCAGGUUUAGUUAACAUACUCUGUCUCUCAAAAAAAAAAUUGCCAUACUCUGCACAAGAACACUGCAGGCUUUACACAUUGUCAAUGAACAGAAAUAUGUAGAGCCUGAUGUCAAAGUGUCAAACGAAUGUAGUAUGCCAUUGGAAAGAGGAGGACGAAGCAGAUUGGGCUCUUUUCCCCAAUAAACAGCUUACAACAAGAUUGG